AGAUUGAACGCUGGCGGCAUGCCUAACACAUGCAAGUCGAACGGAAAGGCCCGCUUGCGGGUACUCGAGUGGCGAACGGGUGAGUAACACGUGGGCAACCUGCCCUCAGCUCUGGGAUAACUCCGGGAAACCGGUGCUAAUACUGGAUAUCGACUUCUGCCUCGCAUGGGGUGUUGUUGAAAGUUUUUUCGGCUGGGGAUGGGCCCGCGGCCUAUCAGCUUGUUGGUGGGGUGAUGGCCUACCAAGGCGACGACGGGUA
rnacentral:rRNA from 1 species